rnacentral:piRNA from 1 species
GACCAUGGAUGGACGAGCACAGCG